rnacentral:rRNA from 1 species
UACACCACCGCCCGUCACACCAUGGGAGUUGGUUCUACCUGAAGACGGUGCGCUAACCGCAAGGAGGCAGCCGGCCACGGUAGGGUCAGCGACUGGGGUG